ACCAGGUUGUUAUAAACGUGAUUAAAAUAUCUGUUUAUUCGAGACCAUUACCUUAUGUUGAAAGUUAAACCAGGUCCAACUUCGACCAAUCAGGGACGUGGUAGUGAUGUAUAGAUGGCAUCCUUAUUAAUUCACGGAAAUGAUUAAAAAUUGAUCAUGGAGCAGAAAUUAAUUAUUACGGUUUGUGCUCUGCAGGAAUUUUAUGACACGUCUUUUAAAUAUCCGAAUAGAGGUUUGAUAGAAAUUUCACACUAAGCCUCUUCCAACUGUUGUCACAUGUGUGAACACUAUACGCUAAAAGCGCAACACAUGCCCGACGUAAACGUAGCAUAAAGACUAUUUUUGGCUGCUGUCCUUAAAAAAACCCCCAAAAAACUCUAACUUUUUGUUUCUUAACGACAAAAAAACCCACAAAGACACAAACUACCACAAAGGUGAUUGUAAAAAGUGUAAAGUAACAUGAACACAUACUUUGUUUUAUUGAUUUUAACCAAAUGAUAAAUCAUAAAUGGAAGCCAAACAACAGGGAAGCUUCCCUCUAAUGACAGACAUUUGUGAUGAAUGUAUUAUUGAGCUGUCAUGUUGCUCCUUCUCUGAAUCUUUUUCUUCCUUAGAGGUGGAAUAAUUUUAGUUUUUUUUUCUACCAUAGUUUGGGGGCUUUUCUGAGGCCAGCAGGGAACAUAUUGGCUGAGCUCACCAAGGUGUGCUAAUGCCUGGUGGGCAAGUACUUUAAAUGCUAAUUCUCCCCGCCUUCCGUCCUGUACUCAAACAUACCAGCCGGCCCGCUAACUACCUCUGAGCCAAUCUCUUCAUCCUCCUCCUCCUCCUCAGUCGCCGCGCGCCUGUUCCCCGCCGAGUGACCGCCACAAACAAACACAAGCACUCUGUCAAACUGCUAAUCCAGCCGCCGCGCGCACAAACGCACUGUACGUGUCGUGUGCAGCCGCUCAAUGAGCAGUCACGCGGCUCUGACACUUUUGAGGGAGCACACGAGAGGAAAAAACAGCGUUUUAGGCAGAGAGCCGAAAAAAGAGGAGAGGCCCAGCGUGCAGCUAAUGGCCGUCCGGCUGACAGCUCCAUCACGGACUUAAGCGGCCGCCUAGCUCGGCUGCUUUGCAUCCGUCUGACAGCUUCGGCGCUUCUGCCUAAAAGGUAGAUUAUGCAAACGUUCGGUUCACUGGCCGCCUUCACCUCCAGCUCCACCCUGAUGCUGCUCCACCAGAAACCCCCCUCCUCUUUCAGGUUGUGCCAUCCUGGUGUUUCUGUGAUUGGAGGCCUUCCCGCGGGGAGCCGACAGAGGUCGGAACCCCGCAGAGAUGCUCCCCUUCUCCUUCAGCAAGGACACAUUCACGGCUGGAGUCCCGAUCCUGCACCGAGGUCCUACGUGGAACCAGACAAAGAACCUGCAAGACAAUGAAACCACAAGAUGAGAGCUGACGCUCUGAAAUAUUUAUGAAUGCUGAAUCACUGGAUGCGAGCAGGAAACUCUUCAUCGCAUCAGAGGGCAGAGAAGCAGCUUCCAAAAACCUCAGCCUCAGAAAAGAGCCCGUCUUUGCGAAACGAGAGCUCGUCAAGGUCGAAGUCUCAUUCUGACUGUUGCACCAGGGUGAACGCUCAACAGCCACAUCUUUUUCUUUUAAAGGGCUAUGCAAUCUUGUUUUUUCACAUAAAGCUAAAUACUCAAUCAUAAAGUGCUACCUACAGUGCUUUUUUUCCUAUCACUUUUUAAUGAACAUUGUACUUGUUAGGGGUAUAAUGAUUCAUUUGAACAACCUUUUGAUUGAUAUUAUAAUUUGUGGUUGCUGAUAAAAUUCAUUCUUGUUUUUAGUUAAUUUAAAAUAUCUAAUUGAUCCGAAUGACUGACCUAAAAUGGA